CAGUAGCCGCGGUAAUACGGAGGGGGCUAGCGUUGUUCGGAAUUACUGGGCGUAAAGCGCACGUAGGCGGCUUGGUAAGUUAGAGGUGAAAGCCUGGAGCUCAACUCCAGAAUUGCCUUUAAGACUGCCGAGCUAGCAGGUGAGAGAGGUAAGUGGAAUUCCGAGUGUAGGGGUGAAAUUCGUAGAUAUUCGGAAGAACACCAGUGGCGAAGGCGGCUUACUGGCUCAUACUGGACGCUGAGGUGCGAAAGCGUGGGGAGCAAACAGGAUUAGAUACCCCAGUAGUCCCUGUCUCUUAUAC
rnacentral:rRNA from 1 species